CGCGUAGGUGGCUUGUCAGGUCCGAUGUGAAAACCUGGGGCUCAACUCCAGGCGUGCAUUGGAAACCGUCUUGCUAGAGUCUGGGAGAGGAGAGUGGAAUUCCUGGUGUAGCGGUGAAAUGCGUAGAUAUCAGGAGGAACACCGGUAGCGAAGGCGGCUCUCUGGAACAGUACUGACACUGAGGCGCGAAAGCUAGGGGAGCGAACA
rnacentral:rRNA from 1 species